AGUAUUAGUAAGAUGAAGAAAUUGCAAUCUUUGUUCUAUAUUGAAUCAGAAGGAAACAUUAUUAGACUUAUUGGAAGUAUGACCCAGCUUACUUUCCUUGGCAUUACAAAUGUGAAAGAAAGAGACGAGGAGGACCUAUGUGCCUCAAUUCAAGAGAUGGAGGUCCUUUCCUGCUUGUAUUUAUAUGUAGCUGAUGGAGAGGAAUUUCUUCGAGUUGACGCAUUGUCUUCACCGCCUCCCUACCUUGAUAGACUUAGAUUGGUCGGCAAACUGGAAAAGGUUCCACAUUGGUUUUGUUCGCUCCACUCUCUCACAUACAUGCAUCUGCAAGGGUCCAGACUUGAAGAAGAUAUACUACCUCAUAUUGAAGCAUUGCCCUCUCUACUUUAUCUUUCCCUUAUUAAUGCCUCUGUUAGGGAAGAGUUAUGUUUCAACAGAGGCUUUGCGAAGCUUCGGCAUUUGUGGUUUUAUGAUCUCGCAUUAUUAACUAAGAUAACUAUAGAAAAAGGGGCGAUGCCAAAUCUCGAGUUCUUAAAGAUUCAUAGUUGCUUGACAUUAGAAACAUUGCCACAGGGUAUUGAGCACCUUACUAAACUGCAACGAUACAGAUUUGAUAAUGUUUCAGAGAAGUUUAGAGAGUCCAUAAAAGAAGGAGGUGUGGAUCAUCCAAGGAUGCUACUCGUCGAUGAGAGAUGUAAGAAAUGUACGUAAGUAUCUUUUAUCCUUUCAUUGACUUUCCUAAACUUAAUGAUUUGGAAUAUUGCACUUGUGUUCAAGAAAUUGUUCUCGUUCACAUCUCUGUUAAUGGAUGUAAAGCCAUAUAAAUUGUUUGUUAAUUACAAUAUUGUUUUUGUCUUUUUAUAUAUUUUGCAGAAACAAGUCCUGGGAUUGAAGAUUUUACUCAUGAGUUUGGGGGUGGGAACUUGUUCGUCUUGUUUUGACCCCAAGAGUGAUCUAGAUUGGCUUCUUAUUUGCUCUUUUGAAAAUCAAACAAUACCCAAGUUGAUGUUCAUAAAAUUGCAGUUGAUGUUUUUGUGUGUGUUUUAAUUUGCAUGUAAUUAGCCCGUAUGUGGCGACUACAAUGUUGAUAUGAUUCAUUUUCUCUUUUUGCUUGAGAUUGUAAUACGUUGAUAGGCUGUCAUGUUAAUUGGUUUUUCCGUAAAUAAUGUGAUCUAGCUAGGUUCAGUCACUCAUGGGUUAGCAAAGUUAUAAAUAAAUAAAAAUUAAAAAAAACAAAAACAAAGCUCUAGGAAACCAUAUUUGGAGUAACAUACAAAAGCUCGUGUAAAAUAAACCAUUAAUAUUAUAUAGAUAUAAUUUAAAAAAUUCAAAAAUAAAUAUAACAUACAAAAUCCAAAAAAAUAAAAAUAAAAAGUAAAGGGAACACAUGCACUAGCACUACAAUUCAAACAUGCAUGAAUAUUGUCUGGCUUUCUUGUUUUACUUUCUUUCUUUUUUCCUUCUACAUAUUUCAGCCCCAAUGAGUUUUACUCCUUUUGUGUGUGGUUGAGGCAAUUAUAGACAAUAUGCUUUCUGUCUUUGGCUACCUAAAAAGUCAAGAAUGAGCCAUGCCUUUUGGUAUUACUUAAACUGAUACUGUGUCCAGGAUUUCAGAUUCUCCAUUCGAUUGGCUAUUCCUUACACAUGUAUGUUGUUAUUUAGAGAGAGAGGGAGGGAGAGAAAGGCAAAGUGUACAAACUAGAAUAAUUGAUAUCUCUCUAGCAAUCCAAGCAUUGAGUGUUGGUCAUUUGAGCUGGUUAUAUCUUGCUCUCUGGCUCUGGCCUUUUACUAAAUCAGGCUCUUUUCUUUUUGCGUAACUUCAGAAACAAUUCGUCGCGCAUUUUCCGUCGCGCGAAGAUCGUGAAGAAAGCCUUUGCGCGACGAGGUAUAACAAUUCGUCGCGCAAAACUGUGCGACGGGUAAACCAUCGUUGCACCAACGGUAUGGAGACGAAACAACUGUUCGUCGCAUAAAAUUUGCGCGACGAUCAAUUAUUCGUCGCACAUAUCUUUGCGCGACGACUGGAAUUGCGCGACGAAAACUAAUUCGUCGCGCAAAACGUGUUCAGGAGACGUAGAUGUUCGCCGCAGAACCAUUCGCGCGAUGAGAAAGCUUUCGUCGCUCAUAUAUUUGCGCAACGAAAAUCUCUGUUGUCGCGCCAGAUAAGAUGCGCGACGAAACAAUUCGUCGCGCAAAACGUGUUUGCGAGACGUAUGCAUUCGUCGCGCAAGAAUUAAAAGUAAUAAAAAAGUUGAUUUUUUUAAUUUUUUUUGUUACAUGCGGGUUUGCGCGACGAAAUAUUUGCCGUCGCGCAAACAUAAUAGUACAAUUUUUUUUAUUUUUUUAUAUUUUUUAUUUUUUAUUUUAAAUAAAAUUGGUUUUUUUAUUGAUUAAACAAUGAAAUUGCAAUAAAAAUAAAUUAGAAUAAAAUUUUGUUAUAAAAUAAAAUAAAUGUAUUACAAAUAAAAUAAAUACACUAAUCAAAUAAUGAAUCAAAAUCAACCGAGUCGUCGCCAGUAUGCGGCUCGGAGGUCGGGGCGUUCACCAGGGCAGUGGUCUGGUGGGGAUGCCCGGGAUGGACGGGCUCGGAGGUCGGCGCAUCAAAAUGCAGGACUGGAAUGCCGGACUGUGCGAGGGACUGCAGAAUGACCGACAUCUGGCUCUGAAGAGUUGCCACCUGUGCUGUCAAAGCAGUGACCUGACUGUUUGAUUGCGCCGAUGAACGAGGUCGAGGUUCCCUCCGCCGGGCAUUCCCCAUCCCUCGACAAUAUGUCCCCGGCCUCCUCCCGAGAGUCUGAUCCAACGUCUCUGUCAAGAUCUGAAAUCCAGCAUCCUGUGGAGGAGCCACAGACUCGAUCGGAGUCUCGGGAGGAAGCUGGGAGGCGGACUCCUGAAGAACCAACUGGCUCCUCUCCACCAUUAUCGUCUGUUGAACAUAACAUAAAAUAUAAAUUAAAACAUGCAUAUAAAUUGAAUGCGUAACAUAAGAAUUAAAAUUAAAUAAUACUUACAUGAAGGGACUCGGCCAACUCAUUCCCGGGUCGAACAUAAACGUCACCAAAGACGUCGAUCUCUGGGAACUUGGACCCCUCCUAAAUUGAACAAGAGAAGAAAAAUAUUAGUAUGAAAAAAAUAAAUUAAUAAAAAUGACAUUAAAAAUGAAAUAAAAAUUUUGUGAUUAUUACCCGACGCCGUGCAUCCAUCCUAUACGAAAAGGGUCUGGAGCCGGAAUGGUGGAGAAGGGUCUUCUUCUUCCUAUUACCCUUAUUCACAUGGGCUUUAUUCUGUUAUACAAAAAAUGAAACGUAUUAGUUCAAAUAUAAAAAAUUAAAUAAUAAUGAAAUAAAAAAAUAAAAUAAACAUUAAUAAGUAAUAAGUAAUAAUUAAAAAAAUACCGCAAAUUCGGGCACUUGAAAAUGAGCGCAGAGCCACUCCCAACUAUCCUCCCGCCCCUCAAGCUCCUUCGGGCAACCCUCCUGAAGAGCGACUUGCGGAUCAUCAUAGGCCUGAAAAUGGUGGUGCAAGUCGCUCUUCCACUGCUUGUACCUCUCAGUGAAGAGUCUGUUGACGUACGUCAACGACUCUUCGUCGAGAUCCUCCAAGUUAUAGUUCGUCUGCAAUCAAUUAAUUAGAUACGUUAAGUAAUAGAAAUAUACACAAUUUUAAAGAAAAAUAAUGAAAAUGUAAGGUACAUACCGACAACUGGCCGCGAACCUCCGCCUUGAUCUCGUCAGGCAUGACCCUCCAAGACUUCCAUUGCAUCGGGCAAUGGGUCCGCACGACGUGGCCAAUGUCGUGGGCCAAGGAGCUAUGCAACUCUGCCGUCGGUGUAGCCCGAUGGCGCUCGUCGUAUCCGAUGCUGAUACGACUGUUGGUCACCCGGGUGACCUUCGCCGUCUUCAGCUGACGACACGGUCCUCGGGUGUUCUUCUUCGCUGCAAAGAAAUAAGGUAUUAAUGUUAAAUAAAAAAACAUUGUCAAAUUUCAAUAUAAAAUUAACAAUACAAAAGUGUAGUUAUACCUGGCUGUGAUCCCGAGGCACCAGUACCGUCGGUCGAUGUCGUGUCGAUGGUGUCGGUGGGCCGGUGCCGCCGCCUAGCACUAGCUGGCUGCGCCACGGAUGACGCAGAUGACACAGGCGCCUGGGACGCCCCGGGACCAACCACCACGUGGUCCAGCAAAGCAGGAGCAGUGGCAGCAGAUGCCGACUGAGCCGGGGGAUCUGAACUCGAUGCAGUCGUCAUCGACCUACCACGUCUAAUCAAGUCUGACAUCUGCACAUAUAAUUUCAUUCAGAAUUUAAACUAAUUAAUUAAAAGCAUAGCCUGACCUAGGGUUUGGAAUUUCGGAGUAUCCGGGACUCCGAUCAACGAUCGGUCGAAUCCUAAACGAUCCUAGAAACACAAAGGUACAACUACGUGAGUUUCAGUUCGAUCCAACGGUCCGAACAUAUCAAACUUGGAAAUCGCACAAUAGGCGAAAUCCGAUCAAGACUCAAACGGCAACAAAAUUCAAAUCUGGGCAAACCUACGCGCUCGUGACAAACAGGGGAUUGCUCUGGGACCCAAUGCCCCACUGCCACAGUAUCCCACCCGCCACCACAUGCGCCGGCAGUGCGUGGGUGUCCAAAGCGAUAAAAUUUGCCGGAAAAUUCUAAAAACUAAGGGCCAAGGUUCCUACCCUAGGUUGAAAACAUUAAUUGGAGCCACUUUUGUUCUGGGACCGACCCCGAAAAAUGGCCGAAAGUGGCCGGAUUUGAUAGAGGCUUACAGUNNNNNNNNNNNNNNNNNNNNNNNNNNNNNNNNNNNNNNNNNNNNNNNNNNNNNNNNNNNNNNNNNNNNNNNNNNNNNNNNNNNNNNNNNNNNNNNNNNNNNNNNNNNNNNNNNNNNNNNNNNNNNNNNNNNNNNNNNNNNNNNNNNNNNNNNNNNNNNNNNNNNNNNNNNNNNNNNNNNNNNNNNNNNNNNNNNNNNNNNNNNNNNNNNNNNNNNNNNNNNNNNNNNNNNNNNNNNNNNNNNNNNNNNNNNNNNNNNNNNNNNNNNNNNNNNNNNNNNNNNNNNNNNNNNNNNNNNNNNNNNNNNNNNNNNNNNNNNNNNNNNNNNNNNNNNNNNNNNNNNNNNNNNNNNNNNNNNNNNNNNNNUGAAUGGCAUUAAUGAACCUGCGCGACGGAAACACUGAGUCGUCGCUCAAAACACUUCUGGCCGCCAAAAUUUGGGGUUAGGGUUUGGCUGAAACUGAAGGGUCUUUGCCUUUGCGCGACGAAGUAAGUACGCGUCGCGCAUAUCUGUCGCGCAAAAUGGCAUUAAUGAACCUUGCGCGAUGGAAACACCUGAGUUCGUCGCGCAAAACACUUCUGGCCGCCAAAAUUUUGGGGUUUAGGGUUUGGCUGAAACUGAAGGGUCUUUGCCUUUUGCGCGACGAAGUCAUGUAAUUCGUCGCGCGAGUUCGAGAUUGUGAUUCGGUUGAAGUUUUCGCUAAGUGUUCAGAGGGUCGAGGGAUUGCGAGACGAAUAGACUUGUAUUGCGCGACGUUUUUAUUCUGUUCGUCGCGCUAGUUCAGAAUUUCAUUCGGUUGAAAUUUUCACUAAGUGUUAAAAGGGGAUGGAGGGGUGAACUGUGUGUCCCAGAUUGCGCGACGAAUGAAAACAUAUCCGUCGCGCAAUCUUUAUGACUUUCACUUUGCGCGACGAAAGGAAUGUUAUUCGUCGCGCAAAACCUAAACCCUAAAAUGUAAACCCUAAGCCGUAAGCCCUAAGCCCUAAACCCUAAACCCUAAAAUAGUUUCAAUGAUCCAACCGGCAAACUUAUUUUUUUUAUACUUGGAGAUCAUAUACGCCAAAAAUCAAAACGACCAAACAUUCAGAUAUCAGAAAACGGGACAAAAUAUUUUGACGGUUAUAAAUGAAAAGUCAUGAUUUAACGGUUAUUUUAAUUCCGAUUUUGAUCAUUUUUUGCAGCAACAUUUGUUGACCCUAUAUGAAUACAAUGACUGAAUUUGAUCUUCAAUUUCAGAUUUUUACACUAGGGGAUACCACAUAAACGUUAAGUUACAUUUUGACAAAUGUAUGAACAAAUUUUUGAGUUUUUGGUGAAUAUACGAUUUUGAUAGCACAUGCAGUCUACGAAACUAGUUUCAGCCAUCCAGCCGUCAAACUUGUUUUUUUAUAAUUCGAGAUCAUAGACAGCAAAAUUCGGCCCAAAAAAACAUUCAGAGAUUAAGUAACGGGGUAAAACUUUUCGACGGUUCUAAAUAAAAAGUGAUGAUUGAACGGUUAUUUGAACUCCGAUGUUGAUGAUUUUUUGCACCAAUAGUCCUACACUCCAUAUGAAUACAAUGAACUACUUCGAUCGCCAAUUUGAAAUAUAUAUGUGUGUAUAUAUUAUACUAUAACGUAACCUAAUAUAUAUUUGCGCGACGAAGUUCUUCUUAUCGUCGCGCAAAAAACCCCAUACGCGACGCAUUCAUGUUCGUCGCGAAAACUAUUGCGACGAGGUUUGUUCGUCUCGCAAAAUUUACGCGACGCAUUUUUUUGCGUCGCGUAUGGUAUUUUUGCGCGACGAUAAUGUGUCUUCGUCGCGCAAGGAUUUGGCGCCAUAACUCCUCCUUUAAUUCAAAUUGUGUAUGCUUUGUAUUUUUGGGAAAGGUUUUGUAUUCAUCAUUUUUUAUGCUUUGUAUUUUUUGGAAAGGCUUUGUAUUUCUUCAUCAAAACCAAACUAAAUUGAUAAUUAAGAUUUGAAUCGACCGAAUUUAUCGGUUUGACUAGAUUGAUGCCACUAAUCAUGAACCAAAGUGAAGAAAAAUAAGUGGCACACAGCUAAUAUUGGAGAAAUAACUUAAAUUUUCUGUUUAAACAUGAAGAAAUAACUAUAUCUCAAAAGAAAAAAAUAAUAAUUGAAGAGGCCUUAAGGCAUGAAUAAAUAAAUAAAUAAAUAAAAACCAAUCAACAAGCAUGGGGUCGUAAUAAGUACUGACUAAAGUAUUGACAUUCCAAUGAAGUUUGUGAUGAAAUAUGGAGAAUGAAUACACAACUACAUAUGGACAACUACAUAUAUUCAAAGAUUUGUAUUACAAAAAAUGAAUACACUAACAUAAUAAAUUUACAAAUAAAUUCAUUAUUCAUCAUCUGAACUAUAAUAACUUUCGUUAUCGUCGCUAUCAUCACUCUCGGUCUCCCAAUCUUCUUCCUCCUCCUCCUCUAUAACCGCAUCAUCGGCGUUGCUAGGGCCCACUGCAACAUCGUAUCGAGGAAGAUCACCGAGGUCAAUUGUAAUUGACUGAAUCGGUAUUUCGACUGAAGACACUCCUUCUAUUUGAAACGGUUCUUGUAUAACAUUUGUAUCUCGAAGUGUUUCCGCAUCAUUUUCCAUUGAAGAUUCUAAACGUUGGUCAGCCACAUUGUCGACGUCGUUGUCACUUGGGUCUAGUUCUGGUAUAUCAUACACGUUCCUAUGAUCCAUCUUCUGCACAACUUUCCACCCGUUCCCGGCUUUAGGGUCAUCUAGAUAUACAAUUUGGGACGCCAUGUUUGCCAAAAUGUACGGGUCGUCAUCAUACCAAGUUCUGUUAAUGUUCACAGACAGUACUCCAUGGUCGAUUUUAACACUUGCCGCCCUAUUUGGGUUGGUAUCGAACCAUCGACACUUAAACAUGAUGACUUGGUAUCGAUCUUUGUAAAGCAAUUGCACGACAGUUGUCAGUUUGCCAUAGAAAUCAAUGUCCGUACUUUCGCCUCCACCUGGGACAUGGACACCGCUGUUUUGCGUACACAACUUGUCAUCUCGUGCGGCCCCCAAAAAUUUGACGCCGUUAACAUUACAACCCGAGAACAAUUCAGCGCGAAUUGGGCCGAACGCCAAGUUAUAUAACUCAUCACUGUAAGUGGGGGAAUUCGAUGAUUUCAAUUUAUUCACCUAAUAGUAUACAAAACCAUUUACAUGUUAGUCUGACAAAAUUAAAUACUACAAUUUAUAUUUGUCAAUUACAAAACACUUAUAACUUACAGAAUCCAAAAACCAUUGUGGAAAUAAUUCACGGUGUUUCCGGGCAGCCAAAUGUGAUGGAUGUUCUCGCUUCAUCAUCUGUUCAUGCUCAUCUAAGUAGGCCAUUAUCUCAUCACAAUUGUUCAGUACGAACCAAUGCGCUACCUCCAUGUCAUUUCUAGAAAACGACUCUCCUCGUCCAGGAUCUCCAAAUGGUCGUGCGCUUUGGGAAAAAACAGAAAGUUUUUCAUCUCUCAUACCUCCGUCAUUAUUGCGUUGAGGACGAUUGAAAACCGUCUCCACAUCUUUUAAAUACAUUCCACAGAAAGUAAGCGACUCAUAUUGAACCCAAGCCUCUAUAAUUGAUCCUUCGGGCUUUGCCCUGUUGCGUACACUUUUUUUCAGCUCUCCGAGAAGCCUGCCAAAAUAAAACGAUAUGAUACAAAUUAGCAAACUGUCGAUAAUGAUGCAUACACAAAUGAUAAAGAUUAUAUACCUUUCUAUUGGAUACAUCCAGCGAUAGUUGACAGGAUCAGCAAGCAAUGCCUCUUCUGGCAAGUGAACCAUCACGUGCUUCAUACUUGUAAAGAAAGCGGGCGGAAAUAUCAUCUCAAACUUGCAUAGGACUUGGACAAUGUCAUGGCGCAACUGAAACAUGUCUGUCCUUCGCAAUGUUUUUGCCGUCAGUUGGGAAAAAAAUCUGGAUAACAACAUGAUUGGCUUCACCACAUCUUCCGGCAGUAGGUGUCGAAUACCCACAGGAAGUAGACGUUGCAUAAACACAUGGCAGUCAUGGCUCUUAAGUCCAGUAAAUUUACCCCCAUCGACAUUCACGCAACGUGCGAUAUUAGAAGCAUACCCAUCGGGAAAUUUGACAGACGAUACAAACUUUAGAAACUCUUUUUUGUCAUUCGGUUUCAUAGAAAAGAAUGCAAGAUCCCUUCUAGCUUUAUCACUGUCCCUAUUCAUCCAUAAACCCCUUCGUAUGCCCAUUCUUUCCAAAUCAAGACGAGCUUUGAUCGUGUCCUUCGUCUUCCCCUCGUUAUCUAGAAUCGUGCCCACCAAUGUGUCGAAUACAUUUUUCUCAACACGCAUCACAUCUAGAUUGUGUCUCAAUUUCAGUUUCGACCAAUAUGGGAGCUCAAAAAACAUAGGCUUGUGCGUCCAGUUCAAAUGUGUAGAAGGUCUGGUCCGACUAACUGUUUUCCCGAACGGAGCAAAAUCCAAACGGUUCAGCUGUUCCAAGAUCUCAUCACCGGACCAUUCUCUAGGUCUGAGGCGACGCUCUGUGUUCCCGUCGAACUCUUUAUCUUUUUCCCGCCAUUCGUGGUCCCAUGGCAACCAUCUCCGAUGACCAAGGUAACAAACUUUUCCUGCGUGCCAACCAGAAGUUACAUCUUCCUUGCAUACAGGACAUGCCAUAUAACCCUUUGUGCUCCACCCAGAAAUCAUUGCAUAUGCUGGGAAAUCAUUCACAGUCCACAUAACUGCUGCCCGCAAAGUGAACAUCCUCCCAGUUGAUUUAUCGUACGUGCGAACACCGUUUGUCCAUAAAUCCUUCAGCUCAUCAACCAGAGGCCUUAAGUACACAUCAAUUGACCUGCCAGGAUCCUCAGUUAUCAAAACAGUCAUCAUCAUGUAUUCUUUUUUCAUGCAUUUCCAAGGCGGCAAAUUAUAUGGGAAUGCGAAAAUCGGCCAAGUGCUGUGGUGUUGGUUUAGAACCCCAUACGGAUUGAAUCCGUCAGUGGCAAGUCCCAAUCUAACAUUUCGGGGAUCAGCAGCAAACUCGGGGAACGUUCGAUCGAACUCUUUCCAUGCCUCCCCAUCUGCAGGAUGCCGCAUCACAUCAUCGUCUACCCGUUUUUCCUUAUGUCAUCUCAUGUCUGUGGCAGUAUGCGUCGACAUAUACAAUCUCUGCAACCUAGGUUUAAGGGGCAGAUAACGCAUCCUUUUUUGUGGUAUCUUAGUCGUUCUAUUCUGGGAUGUCAUUUUGAACCUCGACUCAUUGCAUAUAGGGCAUGUAUCCAACGUUUCAUGCUCUUUGUAGAAUAACAUGCAAUUGUUUUUGCAAGCGUGGAUUUUUUCAUAACCCAAUCCAAGACCAUGCAACACCUUCUGUGCAUGUUUAUGGUCUUUCGGCAAACAAUUGCCCGUCGGAAGCAUUCUCUUGAAAACCCCCAAAAAGUAAUCGAAAUACAAGUUCGACAUACGAUACUUUAUUUUUCUGUGCAUUAGCUCCACAAUGGCAGUGAGAACGGAAAAGCUCUCGCACCCCGGGUAUAACUCUUGGUUGGCAUUUUUUAACAGUUUUUCAUACUGUUCAAACUCCGCACUGUCUAUUGGUGUAGGCACGUCAUAUUCCCCUUCCUGAUUGAUGCUGGUCGAUGCGAAUGGAAAAGCAUCCUGUAUAAUACCCAUGACUUGAUCAUUAGGAUCCACAAUAGGUUCAACAUUGUCCACUCUUGGGGCAUUUGAAGACGAAGCAUGGUCUACUUGUUCGCCGUGAAGGUUCCAAAUGCUAUGUGUUUCAAUCAUUCCAUUCCUUACUAAAUGAAAUCCAACAUUUUCAAUUGUCUCAAACAACGUGUUGUUACACCUCCUACAAGGACAACGGAUUCUAGUUGCACCCGGGUUCUGUCUACGUGCAAACUCAAUAAAAUCCUCGAUUCCAUCCAAGUAUUCGUCUGCGCAUCUAUUCGGGUUAUGUAUCCACCUUCUGCUCAUAAUUCCUGAAACCACAAUCACGACACAACAAUCACAACAACUUCAUACGAAGUUAUAAUGUCACCUUAUGCCUCCGGUAAGGGCCCUAUCCCAUUCGGGAAUGCAUAGUCCUGUCACGUAACCUACGGCUACAUGAGAUUAGAUUUCGACGUGGAUUAAUUUCGGCAGCAUCUCGACACAGUUCUUAAAGUGGGCAUAGGUAUAAAUACCUACGUACCACCCGAAGAACGUACCGAGAUGACACCGAAAUCUCCACAAUCGAAACCUAAUCCUGUAGCCGAAGAUUAUGUGACAACACUAUGCAUUACCAAACUGUCCAAGUAAUGGGACAAUUCAAGAAUUAAUUGGACCGCAGUCAUGCCUUACGCAUCCAUGCACGAAAUCCAACUAAUCUCGAACGGGAAACUACGUGUUACUAAACAUAAAAAUAAAAGUACGAAGUUAAUUUCAAUUAACUUCGUACAUCACAACACAUUGUGCUACGUCACGCACAAUUUCACAACAUUAUACACAUAAAACUUGACAAAAAAAUUACAAACUUAACAAACAAACUUUUACAAUGACAUACCUUCUCAAUCGUUCUCCACCAAUCACUAAUCACAAAUAUCCCUAACGAGAACAAAAUUAAUAGCAUUAGUACGAAUUUACAUUAAUACAUUUAAACUAACGACAAAAAAUACAUACCUAAUAAACGUACAUAAUUCACAGCAGAGCAGCAGCAGGGAGGGAGAGUGAGAGAGAGGCAGAAUGCAAUUUUUGCAUUCUGCCUCUGCAAUGGCAGAUACAAAUAUGAAGAAGAAGGACUUUGCGCGACGAACAAGGCAAAUUCGUCGCGCGAAACGCCGUCGCGAAAACCCACUUUUCCGUCGCCCAAAACAACAUUUCCGUCGCGCAAUCACGUGUCGACAACUGAUUUUUUGCGCGACGAACAAAAUUAUUCGUUGCGCAAAAUUCCGUCGCGCGUUUACAAUCCGGCGUCGCGCAAAGUGCAACUUUCGUCGCGCAAAUAAAACUUUUUCGUCGCGCAAGAACGCACCGCGAUUAAACUUUACGCGACGACGGCACUUCCGUCGCGCAAAAACCCACCUGCAUAUUGGCGCCAAAAAUAAGUUUCCCUCGUUUUCUUACGCGACGGUUGAUUUUUUUCGUCGCGCUAAGUUGUCUUCUGAGACGAAAACUCUCGUCGCGCAAAAUUUUUUUACCGCCAUAAUCGGAGCCAAUAUUCUGUCCAUCUUUGCGCGACGAAUACCUGGAAUUAUCGCGCAAUAUAGUCAUGCGCGACGAUCUCUGUCGUCGCGCAAGAGUUUGGCGCAAUAACAUAGACUUUACAACCUUUGCGCGACGACAUUUAUUUACGUCGCGCAUAGACUCUUUCCGCGACGAAAUUAUUUGUCGCGCUAGUUGUCUGUUGUAUGCGCGACGGAAUCUUUUUUUCGACGCAAAAGUGCUCCUUGCGCGACGAAAUUGUCUUCGUCGCGCAAACUUCCAUCGCGCAAAUAGUAAAUCGUAGUAGUGAACAGCUUAAAGUGGCAUCUAACAAACAAUUCUUUGUUAGAACCUAUGAAGAUGCGCAUCUUGUUGUUUAGUUUUAAUGAUUUGCCAUACCGAUUGAAGCAAUGCUUUCUAUAUUGUUCCCUUUUCCCUGAAGAUCAUGUGAUCAUAAAUAUAAGGCUCAUUAGAUUGUGGAUCGCUGAAGGAUUUGUUGAACAUGUCGAAGGGCUCACGCCAGAAGAAGUUGCAAAUAGCUAUCUUACGGAACUCAUUUUUCGUAACAUGCUACAGGAAAGGUUUCUAGGAUCCAUCCCAGCAUGUAAGAUGCAUGAUCUUUUGAGGGAGUUUGCUCUGUCUAUAGCAAAAAAAGAAAAGUUUUGUGCUAUACAUGAUGGGAGUGAAACUGGGGCACUCUGUUUGUCAAUUCAAACAACUAAGGGGGAAAUUGGAUCAUGCACAGGUAUAUCACGGCUCCGUUCGUUUCUUGUCUUUGCCACUGGAGUAUCCUCAUUCUCUUUCUCAAAUAAAUUACCUUUUGACCUUAAAUUGUUGAAGGUUCUAGAUUUGGAGUAUGUCCCCACAACUACAAAAAAGCAAAAAGACGACGGUAAAUCACCGUCGUGUAUUGGGUUUUUCAAUGGUCGUGGAAUCCACCGUCAUCUUUUCCCUCAUAAACCACGACGCUAAAUAACCGUCGUUGUUAAAAUAUACAACGUCAUCAACAAAUACAAAACGACGUCUUUGUACUGCAAAAAGAUCUAAAAAAAGCAAUCGAGGAUGAUAAUAGACGACCAACUCUCUAAAAAAACCGUCGUUAAAAAGGAAAAAUAUGACACAUAUUAACAGAACAAGGCCGCAAGAUAGACAUACAACGACGAAAAUACAAAUACGACGACGUUAAAUAUAAUUUUCACGACAAUAAAAAAUAUGACGUCUUUAAAUACAUUAGAAGACGACGUUAUUGAUACCUACUACGUCGCAUAUAUAAAAACAACCGUCGUAAAAUUAAUUUUCCACUUCGAUUUUUCGAUAAAAGAUGACGUGGAAAUAGUUGUCAGUGUCAUUAUUUACGACGUAUAUGUUAAUAGAGUAGACGUUGAAAAACUAAACAACGUCGGUUACAAAUAUAUGAGAGUCGUAUUACAAAAUUUAUACGUCCUAUUUUCAGAAACAAACAACGACGAUAAAUAUUAGACGUUGUUAAAUAAAACAACGUCGGAAAAAAAUAAAAACAGACGUGUUUAGUCUGCUAAAGUUCUAGAAAAUAGUCGAGGAUGAGAAUAGACGACCAACUCAAAAAAAUCACCGUCGUUAAAAAGGAAAAAUAUGACACAUAUUAAAAGAACAAGGCCGCAAGAUAUACAUACAACGACGACAACUAAAAUACUACGCCGUUAAAUAUAAUUUACCCGACAAGAAAAAAUAUGACGUCUUUAAAUACAUGAGAAGACGACGUUAUUGAAAUCUACUACGUCUCUUAUUUAUAAAAAACCGUCGUGAAAUAAAUUUUCCACUUCGAUUUUUCUAAAAAAGAUGACGUGGAAAUAGUUGUCAGUGUCAUUAUUUACGACGUAUACAUUUAUAUAGUCGACGUUGUAUUUAUAUGUAUUCAUUACUCACGACGCACUUAAUAAUAUAGACGACGUUGAACUUCUAAACAACGUCGGUUCCAAAUAAAUGAGAGCCGUAUUACAGAACAUAUAGACGGCGUAGAUUAUGAUGAGAGCCGUAUUACAAAUAACGUCGUUUAAUUAUUAUUAGACGGCGGUUAUAAUGAAUUUCCGUCGGAAUUCAUUUCGUUCCUCUUCGUUUAUAAAAGAACUUGCGACGUGGAAAAUGUAUGAUGACGUCGUAUUUUUUAACGUUCAGAUUAUAUAUCUCGUUUUUUAGACGUCGUUAUUAUGGGAUUGGAGUCAUGUUAUUUUGAAUUACAUGGCGGUUCUUAAUCCUUCCCCGACGUGAUAUCCUGGAUAAUUGCUUCACAAUAGCGUCGUGGUUCUUCAUUGUUACGUUGCUUUAAGACGUCGGUAAAUAUGUUGAAUAAAUGGUUCACCAUAACGUCGUGUUUUAUUUGAACAGACGUUGUUUUUUAUGCAGAAUAUAAUGAUGUAAUCUGGAUCCAGUAUUUUUUGCACUGAUUGUUUUGUGGCCAAAACCUGUAUAAUGAAAGUGAAGAAAUCACAUUACAAUAUAUUAUAAAAUGAAUGUCAUACACUGCCAAUUACAUAAGCAUCAUUCAAUCCAUAUAUCUUCACACCCACCUCGAAUAUUUUGAGCACCUAACUCACCCACCAGUUCAUCAAAUGUGUCAACAUUUGGCAUCCCUCUAGUAAAUGGCUCACACUCAAUUAUCACAUCACCUAAGACUUCAUCACCAAUAACAUCAUUAUAUUCUCUAUUAGGCAUUGAUAACACUACCGACCAACCACGAUGCAUCGGGUCGUCAACAAAAAAUAUUUGUUUGACUUGAGAAGCCAAAACAAAUUGGUCAUUCCUAUGUCCAAUUUUACUCAAAUCUACAAGGGUAAAUCCAAGUUCGUCGACUACAAGACCAGAACUAUCUAUCCAAUCACACCUAAAGACUGGGAUUGUAAACUUUUGGUAGUCAAGGUCCCAAAUUUCUUGAAUGACACCAUAGAAACCCAUAUUUGAGAGAAUUGGAUUUUUAUCCUUGGCACUAGCAACUUGCAUGGUAUGUGCAAGUAAAUAAACUCCACUAUUUUGAGUUGUCCGCACAUCAUCUUGUGCCUUGAUAUUGAAUUUAAUACCUUUAAUAAGAUAGCUCCUAUAUAAUGGCACUGCCAUGUUUGGACCAGCUGCUAGCCAUCUUAAAUUUUCUGAUACGCCAUUAUUGUCUUCCUCAAGUUCACUUUGAACCUGCAAAUUAAUCAAAUCUUAAUUCAAUCUAACAUAGAAAUAAGAAGAAAAUUAAAAGAGAAAUAUGUUAUUCAACAACAUAUACCUUGAAGCGUAGCCAUUGAAUGAAAGUGCUAUUGUGCUUAUCCUGCAGCCACUUUGUUCUCUUUCUAAAUUUUGGAUAAGCAGUCUUGAUGACUUAUCCAUUCAUAUGCCUUCGAUCUUCUAUCCGAGUGCAUCCAUGACUUAUCCAUCUCCGACACUAUAACCUAUUAUCUAUAAUAAAGUGAAAAUACAGGCAAUGACCAUCACUAUAGCAGAUUAUACAAUGAUCUAAUCGCAAGUAAUACACAACAGAGACGACGGGUUUUAAACAAAAACAGACGUAUUUGGCAUAUAUAGACGACGGAUUUUCAACAGACGUCGUCUAUUAUAAGUAAUACAAACGACGGUUUAUGAAAAAACCGUCGUGUACAAGUAAUACAACGACGGUAGUGUAAAAAAACCGUCGUGUAAUCGUCGUCGUAUGCCUUAAAAUUCGUCGUGUCUCAGUUUAUUUUCAAGAACACAAAACCCAUUAAGAACACAAUAUAUAUAUGAAACCAAGCAAGAAACCAACAUAUACAUGAAACCAAGCAUGAAAACAAUAAAUCCAUUCCCAAUUCAACAUAACAUAGGGUGAUUAAAAGAUACGACAAAAUUAAAUCCAUUCCCAAUUCAACAUAACAGAUAAUGUAAUCCAUGAACCCAUUAAACAGAAAAUCCAUGAACCCAUACCUAUAAGCACAUUAUUAACAGAUCGCAAAGCAUACACAUAAAACCCUUUAACAAAACAACCUAAUAUCAUUCAAUGAAUUUACAAGGGGAAGAUAGGGUUUGUACUUAUAGGUUGGACGAGCUCACAGAUUCGACGGAGCCUGGAGAGUGCAACUUUUAAUUAGAGCAGAAGUGAGAGCGAAAUGUUAUGUCGCGCGAAAUCUGAAAAUUUUAGGUUUCAGGGUUCGAAGUAUAAGAAUAAGAGCCAAAUCUAAAAAAAUUUAGGUCGCGCGAAAAUUUUUAGAGCUCGCGCGUUUUAAAACGUCGAAAGAAAAACCAAGGCGAAAGUUCUACAAGUACCGACGUAAAUUUAAUAUUCCACGACGGAAACUUCAUUUUUCGGAUUAAGAACGUAAGGCCGUUCAUUUUGAAGCUUCAUUUUUCGGAUUAAUUUUAAAUUUAUUUUGAAUUUUUUAUAUAACGACGACUGAAAAACCACGUCGGUGUUAAGAAAUUAAAGACGUUGUAAAUUAUAUAAACUGACUUACAUAUUAAAAUGACGUCGUUUAAAGCGUAAACCAUGUCGUAUGUUUUACUGUACGACGUAAAAUAUGUAUUCCACGACGCAACCACCGUCGUUAAAAAUUAAUACCCUAAACCCAUAAAACUAAAUUAUACAAUUUAAAAAAUUAAGUUUAUAAAAGGUUUAUGGUUUUAAAGCCUAACAUAUACCCUAGACUACCCAAAAAUUAUACUUUAAAAAUAAACCCCAAUAAAUAACAACCCUAAUCUCUAAACCCUAGACUCUAAACCCUAAACCAUAAAACUAGAAGUGAUUUUAUGACUCAUCAAAACAAUUUUGUUUUGGAUGGUCAUUUUAAAUUUUUGUUAUUCAAAAUGAAUUUUUUCAAGGUUUAUGUGGAAGAAAAUAUAUCAAUGACUUCAUAGGAGUUGACUUUUCAAUUUUCUGAUUUAUUUUAAAUUUAUUUUGAAUAUUUUGAUAUAAAAAUAAUAAAAUAUUCUUACCACAACAACAAACCACGUCGGUGUUAAUAAAUUGUAGACGUUGUAAAUUGUAAUAAACUACUAAGUCGUUAAAAUGACGUCGUUAAAAUGAGAAACCAUGGCGGCUAUUUAACUAUACGACGUAAAAUAUAUAUUCCACGACUUAACCGCUGUCGUUACAUAAACGUCGUCGAUGAUACCCUGAACCCUUAAGAAAUUGAAGAUGUUGUAAACCAUAAACGACUCAAUUGUUCAAAGAACGUCGUCUAACUAUAUUUUUACGUCGUAUUUGUUUAAAACACGAAACAACAAAAUACGACGGUUUUUGACUUUAUUAGGUCGUUGGAAAAGUAUUACACGUCGGUUAAGCAAUUUGUAUGUUUGUUUUUUUUUUAAUUUAAGAAAACCUCAACAAAUUUUUACAUUACAUAUUAUAGAGAAAAUUUGUACAUUAUACAUAAAUAUCAAGUGUUCAAUAAUUGCCCUGUUUAAUAAUUUGGAAAACAAACUCUGCCCAUUCAUUCCGGACUUCAUCAAUGGCUUCUUGGGGGUAUGAAGCUUCCUGGUUUCCCUUGGCAUACUGCAUAAACAAUGACUAUUAGGGUUUAUAAAUAAAAAGAAAUUCAAUCACAAACGACGAUAUUUUUCAUAACCGACGUAGUAUAUCCAUUCAACGACGUUAAUUUUACAUGACCGUCGUUGAUAAUACAAAAAACGACGUGAAAUGUAUGAAGGUAAUUUCUUCUUACCUUAUACUCAAACCCCAAGGAAGGAUCCAUGAUGAUGUCCCUCAUGAAGCGCAUCACAUAAUACCCGCAUUCGACAUUGCUGGGUUGCUUUGGUGUGCCUGAGAGAGUUUUCCAAAUUACAUUUUUACGUCCUGCUCGGGCUAUGUGGGUAUUAUAUAUUUUUAAAGCAUUGUUCACGAUGUUUUUCGCCUCUUCGUCGACCACACAAUGACCUGGCAGAGGAUCCAGAAAAUAGACGGUCUCCUUCUUUGCUCUUACAAUCAGCAAGAUCCAAUGACGGCUGCACAAAAUUAAUAUAAAAACGACGGUUAUUUACAAAAACGACGUAUUAUAGUAUUUCACACGACGAAAUAAAGUAGAUAACGACGACAUUAUAUAUUUAUCACGACGAUAAAUAAAUACCGACGUGGUUAGUAGUUUCAAACGACUAAAUAAAAUAAAACACCGACGUGGUUAGUUUAUAAGCUGUCAUUUAUUGAAAAUCAUAAAAACAAAAUCCUAAGGAGACUAACCCUGGAUUGUAAGGCAUCAUGAAAAUCUGUUCACCGUCUGUCUUCUGAAGUCGAGCUGCUACCAGUCGUGAUCUUUCAGUUAUUGUGCCAGAGUUGGCACUAACUGUAGCAGGGUCGAUAAAGCCAACCAUGCUGCACAUAUUGGCUUGUUUCAAAACAUCGUGUAAGUACCUAAAUACAUAAAAUAAUAUAAACAAGUCAGCACAAAAAAACACGACGGUUAUGUAUAAAAAAACGACGUAUUAUAAUAUUUCACACGACGUACUGAAAUAGAUGAGGACGUUAUAAUAUAUUUAUCACGACGGUAGUUAGUUAAGACGACGUGGUUAGUUAGUUAAGACGACUCAAUAUAUAAACCAACGAGGUAUUAUUUUAGAAGUACAAACCUCAUAUAUACAGCCAAUACAGUAGCUCCAAUUUCUUCCGUGCCUGCAAAUUGUGUAAUAUCUUCAGGCAGGAGGAAGGUAUCGCGCUCACCACCAAACACCUCCUUAUCAAUUGUAAAUUGGAGUGUCUUAUCCUCAGGAAGGAGUGUCGUUUCCAAAAAACGACAAAGGGUUUUUAAAGAAGAUGGCGCCUCCAUAGUUGAAUAAUCACCAACUUCAAUAACCUGUUUAAAGAAAUAAAAAAAAUGACGUGGUAAUUCAAUAAAGACGACGGUUUAAGGAAUAAAACGUCGUCUUAAAAGUAUUUAAACGACGGUGAAAAAACUGUCGUGGUAAUUCAAUAAAGACGACGGUUUUAUGAAUAAAGCGUCGUCUGAAACCAUUUAAACGACGGUGCAAAAACCGUCGUUUAAAUAUUUUAUUACGUCUUAAAAAAAUUCCGCCGUCUAAGUUGUAAACAAACGACGGAUUAAAUAAAAAUAUCGACGUCUGAAAUUUUGAAAAACAAAUAAAAAAGGCAAAGUUAUGUGAACAUACCUUGUCGUCAUGCUUUUCUUCAUCUUCUUUCUCCUUUUCUUCUUCCUUCUCUUCAUCUUUUUUUUCUUCUUCCUUCUCUUCAUCUGGCUGAUGUUUCCCCAUUUUGGCAGUAUCAUCCUCCAAAUGUAGGGAUCUCACAUCACCUCCAGAGCAGCUAGCUUUGUCAGACAUUGGAUUUUUGGGGCUUUGGCUAAUUCUUGGUUUAAGCAUGCUUGGAUCAAAAUUGGGAAUUAAUUGGGAAAGCUGACUCAGGAAAUGCUCCCUCUCAGCCUCUACCAAUUGUUUUGUCCUAGCCUCCAUCCUUAAGGCCUCUUCCCUUGCCUUAGCCUCCAUCUUUUUAGUCUCUUCUUGAAGGAGAACUCUUAAACUGUCCUUCAAACGGUCGUCAAAGCUCACCCUCUGUGGUUUGGGCAAAUUGAAAUAUUGCCUUGGGGAAACACCAGCACCAACUCCCCUCACUCUGCCUGGAUGCUCGGGGCCCAAAGCCAUGGUCAGCACAUCAUUGCUGCCAUCUACUCUGACUUUGCCUUCCGAGACUUGUUUCUGCAAUUCAUCCUAAAACAAAGAUAAACAAAAAAAUACACGACGGUUAUUUAUGUACAAACGACGUAUUAUAUAAUUUCACACGACGCAAUAACGUAUAAACCGACGUUAUUAUAACUUAUCACGACGGUAGUUAUACCGACGUGGUUAUUUAUUUAAAACGACGAAAUGAAUAAACAACCGACGUCUUAUGCUAUAAUUAAAGAAAACAGAGUAGUGAUUCCUAUUUAGACCGUUAACGACGUUUUUAAAAAAGUUUCGACGUGGUAAUAUCAUUCACACGACGCGAAAAUGAACCACCGACGUCUUAUGCUAUAAUUACAGAAAACAUAGUAGUGAUUCCUAUUUAGACCUUUAACGACGUUUUUAAAAACUUGUCGACGUGGUAAUAUCAUUCACACGACGAAAAAUAUAACAUACGACGUAAUAAGAAUAUUUCACAGUUUAAUAAAAAUUUAAAACAGAGUGAUAGUAGGCUUACAAUUAAUUUUGCUUUCUCUGCCACCUUUGGAUCAGGGAUGUUACCAUGUUUGUCCUGUCUAGCUCUCUUCCAUAAGGUAGAUCGAUCAAUUUCUACCCCAGGCAUGGUUUCCUCCAAUUGAUCCUCCAAUCCAGCAUAUCCUUUUCGAGACAAUCGAUGAUUGUACUCGAGUUUCUCCCUAAUCUGUGCAUGUUGAGAAUGCACAGACUCAAAAUCUUUGGAUAGCCUCGAAGCUACAAAGGCAUCCCAUUGUGCUUUCUCUAUGAAUUUAUAUGUUUCAGGGGGUUGGCUUAAUUUCUCCCUGUCAUUGGUGUAUGGAAGGAUAUAAUGCCUCGUUAGUGUAGACUUGAAAUCCUUCCCUUUCUUGGCAGCAGAAGCUAAAACAGAGGUCUUACCCCCUUGGCCUACGACAAAAGCCAUGUCAACUGCUUCCCAAAUCUGCUCCUUUAUAUCCUUGGGGAUUUGGGACCAUUUCUUGUCCACAAGUGGGAUCCUGGAGCGUGCCAACACACCAAUAUACGACUGCAUCUCAAUAUGUGCUUGGCCAACACCUUUCCCCCUUUUAUUGUACUCAACAAUUGGCCUCAGUUUCUGAAGCUUUCUCUUCACAACACGAGGCAUUGUGCUCAUACCUCGACCAGUCUUUGAAUCAUCAGAGAUUGUUGUCUGGCUGGUUGGUUCUGUCUCAGCAGAUGAUGAAGCAAACUUCAUCUUCUUCGAAGACUUCAUCUCCUUCGAAGACUUGUCUUGAGGAGCUACCAUUCCAAGCUUCUUGGAGCCAGAAUCCUUAGUUUGUUGUUGAGAAACCAUUUUAACAGACAAAACUGCAAGUGAAAAUAUUUCAGGAAAACAUUAAGAACACAAACGACGGUAUUAAAAAAAUACGACGUAUGAUAUGAUUUUAGACGACGCAAUGAAAUAAUCUCAGACGUAAUAAAUGUUUAAAACCAUUAUUUAUAUAACGUCGUGGUAUAUAUGUUCACACGACGUCAAUAGUAAUACACCGUCGUGGUAAAACUAUUAUUUAUAUAACGUCGUGGUAUUUAUGUUCAUACGACGUCAAUAGUAAUACACCGUCGUGGUAUUAACAUUCACACGACGUAAAACAAUAAGAUAUUUUGUCGUCUACAUUAGAUACCAACCCUAGUUUCUUUUUCUUUAUAUUUUAUCAAAUAAGGGAAAAACAAAAACCAUUGUUCAGAGAAAUCAAACCUGCAAUUAAACAAGCAUAUAAAAAAAGACUAUUAUUUUAAAAACAACUUUGUCAAUUUUCAGACGACGCUAGAACAACUGACGAACCGUCGUGGUCUACCGUCGUCUUAUUUAGUUGAGGUAGUUGUCUUCAAAGUUGGAAACUUUCCCUCUUUGUCUGUAUAUUUUAUCAAACUUGGAAAGAAGUAAAAUGAUUUUGGCCAGAAAAAAGGUAAAAAGAUUUUUCAAACAAAAAACGUAUGAGCAUGCAAAACAGUAACCAAAAUAGUGAAAAUGAAAGCUUACCUUUUGCGUGCAAUGAAAGCAAGAGGAAGAUGAUCGAUGUUUAAGUUCAGAGACGACGAAGAAGACGAGAGGAAGACGAUGAGAAACUCUGACAAUGCUCUGACAAGGAAAAAAGACGAAAAGGUUUCUCUGGGAGAUUGAAAUUUUUAAUCGGGUUUGGAAACAGUGCAUGUGUAAGUCGAAAAGUUGCUUACAUAUAAAACCAUUUCAAAAAAAUAAUACGGCGGUUACAUUUAACUACGUCGUUUUUAACUAACACGACGCAAUAUUUUUCGUUCGACGUGGAAUCAUUUCAUUUAACGUCGUUAGGUUUAAUAUAACCGACGUGGAUUUUAAUUUUUAAAUUAUGAAUAGAAUUUUUUUUCCCGUGACCUUUCAGUUUAUUUUUCAAUUACAGUGCGUUAUAAAUAGAGUUUUUUUUCCUGAGGAAAUUUAAAACGAAGGAAAUUAAUAUUCUGCAAUAUGUAAAGUUUCUUUUUUGGAUGACAGAUUUAAAUAAAAUAAGAAUAUAAAAACAACGAAUGUGUAAGUCAAGUAGACGAAAAGUUGCUUACAUAUAAAACCAUUUCAAAAAAAAUAAUACGGCGGUUACAUAUAACUACGACGUAUAAAGUACAAAAUACGACGGUAAAUUUAACUUCGGACGUGGUAAAUAAAUACGACAGUAGUGUUGUAGGUACCGUCGUAGUAAACUCAAAAAUUAAAGUACAUAAGUAAUAACUCGCGUCAUGGUAGAUUAUUUAAGACGUCGUGAUUAUUAAUGUACCGACGUGGAGUUCUGUAAUAUACGUCAGUAAUACCGAUGUUGAUUUUACAAUUUAAACGGCGGUUUUUUGGUAAGGACCGCCGUUGGUUUUAAAAAUUUAUUCUAUAAAUUUGUCGCUUUCAUUCAUUUUCGCGGUUUACAUUUAGGGUUCCAAGUUCUUCCUCUCUCAGAGACACUGUCUCUCACAUCUCAAAGACAAUAAUUUGGAUGUCUUUCUCAAGAAGAAGCUUGUCAACUAGCCUUCUCACUUCCUUGAUCAAGCCUGAUAGGACACUUAGUGCUUCUGAAUACUCCUUGCUUUCCAUCAAAAGAGAUGCAAGCCUGGCCUCCACUCGCUGUCGAAGGAAAGUUCGCUUCUCAGGGAAAUCUGAAGAUCAGAUGUGCCUGAUCCUCUGCUUGAUUUUCUUGCCUAAGAAGAUUCGUCGGAUUUGUGAUAGCCUCUUCCUUUAUCCGUAGAGCUUCAGAAGAAGAAGAUGGGUUUCAAGAAUGCGAUAAAGAAUAGAAAUGGCUUCAGAUGGCCUCUAAAGCAUGAGCAAUUGAAUCAGUAGUUUCUGGGAGAUAUGAUGAAGACAUUGUCAAUGCUUUGAACUAUACAAGUCCUGCAGAAAGAUAAAGGACCAAACUGUUAAAGAAACUGAAACAACGGCGGUUUUCUGUUCUACCGUCGUCUUUUCUCGUCGUCUAUAUUAAGGUAAGAUGGCGGUAGAUUUAUAAUUACCGACGUAGAUUAUUUUGUUAAACGUCGUUAAGUGUACUACAACCGACGUGGAUUUUAUUUUUAAAUUAUAAAUAGAGUUUUUUUUCCCGUAUUCUUUCAGUUUUAGUUUUCAAUUACAAAGCGUGAUAAAUAGAUUUUUCUUUCCCGAGGAAAUUUAAAAUGAGGGAAAUUAAUGUUCUAGAAUUUGUAAACUAACACGACGCAAUAUUUGCAAAUCUGUGUCAUCUGUUAAGAUUAUGAUGUGGAACAGAGUUCCAUCUGGUAAGAUUUCGUAACCCUUGGGAUCUCAGACAAAUCUGAUUAUGUCGGCGGUGUUCUAUAUAAACCGUCGUGGUUAUUUCAAUUCUUGUCAUUAAGUAGAUCUACCGACGUAGGAUAAGAAAAUCAAAGAAAAAAAUUGUUAACAAAAAUUCUUAUUAAGACGACCGUUAAAAUUAAAGGUACGACGUAUAAAAUGAAUAAAUACGACGUUAAAUUUUAUUGUACGAUUUAAAGAUAACGUCGUAGAACUAUACGAGAAUGACGUCGAUAUAUUUAUAUUUUCCGUCGUUGUAAAUUAAUUUAAUACGGCGAUAUUUUGUAUUUUAAAGCCGUGGAUUUGUUUGUAAUUAUACGGCGUCUUAUACGAAAACCUCGUCGUGUUAUUUUAUGAGGAAAAACGGCAGUUUUUAUUGAAAUCGUCGUCUUUACUUUCUACGUCGGUCGAUUCAUAACUUCUGCCGUUCUUUGUUGGCAUUGAUUUUACACUGCGGAAAUCUGUUUCAAAUAGACGUCGGUUGUUUAAUUAUGUACGUCGUUGUUUUUGAACAACCAUUUGAAUCUCCAUUUUUUAGUUGUCUAAGGUUGUAUUACACGACGGUGUUUUUAGAACCGUCGUCUUUUUAUAAACCACGACGGUUUUCACUUAGACCGUCGUUGUUUUCUGGUCGUCUUUUUCACUUUUUGUAGUUGUGCCCACUUGAUUAUCUGCCAGACAAUCUAACGUCCUUAUUUAAUUUAAAAUAUUUAAAUUUGUUUGGAACUCCAAUUACGGAGCUUCCAGAAUCCAUUGGACAGCUCGGCAACCUUCAGACCUUGAACAUCACGGAGACAAAAAUAGAGGCACUUCCAAGAGUUCCAAGUUGCUAAACUUGCGCCAUUUACUUGUGGGGAGGUUCCAAGAGGGAUUUCCAGGAUAGAUUUCCAGAAAGGUAAUUGGGGUAAGAAUACCAUCAAGUAUUAGGAAGAUGAAGAAAUUGCAAUCUUUGUUACGUAUUGAAUCAGAAGGAAACAUUAUUAGACUUAUUGGAAGUAUGACCCAGCUUAAAUUCCUUGGCAUUACAAAUGUGAAAGAAAGAGACGAGGAGGACCUAUGUGCCUCAAUUCAAGAGAUGAAGGUCCUUUCCCGCUUGUUUUUAUUUGUAUCUCAUGGAGAGGAAUUUCUUCGAGUUGACGCAUUGUCUUCACCGUCUCCCUACCUUGAUAGACUUGAAUUGGUCGGCAAACUGGAAAAGGUUCCACAUUGGUUUUGUU
rnacentral:lncRNA from 1 species